CAUUUCCUCUGCAAUUCGACCAGUUGGACUUUCAAAUGAUGAACUAUGCAACGUCUGCUUUUUAUGUUUAGCAAGUGUCCUCAUGGGAACCUAGUUAACUGUCCUUUAGCCUGAUUAACCUAGGAUAUAAAGUUUAAAGACGCUGCUGGGAUUCUUUUAGAACCAUCACUUCACGAGGAUAUAAAAGAGUUGGUGUUAAAUUUUCUGUGGAUGGUGCCAGUGAUCUCAUGUCAUAGAAAUGAUUUUCCCCAGCAGUGUAGAAAAGGAUUAAGGGGCCAAAUCACAAAGAAGAAUCUCAUGAGCGUUGUAUUAUGAUUAUGCGUCUAUCACACAACCACGUGAAAGCUACUUGUCCUUUAAUUUUACCAUCUUCAGUGCAGACCGUGGAGUGUUGCAUCUGUCAUAUCAAUGACUGUCAGAGUGAUUGAACAGAAAGUCAACAUUUCU